UGUUUUUCUCACUUUGCUCAGUCUGAGACAGAUUCUCCUAUCAUAGAAGCAAUAUGGCUGUGGAGGUUUGAUCUUCUCUGUUUUUUGUGAUAUAUAUAUAUAUAUCUGGGCUCCAAAAUCACUGCAGAUGGUGACUGUAGGCAUGAAAUUAAAAGACACUUACUUCUUGGAAGAAAAGUUAUGACCAACCUAGAUAGUAUGUUGAAAAGCAGAGACAUAACUUUGCCAACAAAGGUCCGUCUAGUCAAGGCUAUGGUUUUUCCUAUGGUCACGUAUGGAAGUGAGAGUUGGUCUGUGAGGAAGGAUGAGCACUGAAGAAUUGGUGCUUUUGAACUGUGGUGUUGAAGAAGACUCUUGAGAGUCCCUUGGACUGCAAGGAGAUCCAACCAGUCCAUUCUGAAGGAGAUCAGCCCUGGGAUUUCUUUGGAAGGAAUAAUGCUAAAGCUGAAACUCCAGUACUUUGGCCACCUCAUGCAAAGAGUUGACUCAUUGGAAAAAACUCUGAUGCUGGGAGGGAUUGGGGGCAGGAGAAGGGGAUGACAGAAGAUGAGAUGGCUGGAUGGCAUCACUGACUCAAUGGACAUGAGUCUGAGUGAACUCUGGGAGUUGGUGAUAGACAGGGAGGCCUGGAGUGCUGCGAUUCAUGGGGUUACACAGAGUCGGACAUGACUGAGCGACUGAAAUGAGCUGACUGAUACAUAACUCUGAUUAGGUUGGCUAUCUACCCUGAGGUAAUAGCCAUGAUGAGGGAUUUUUAAAAAAUUCAAACCAGUUUGUACACAACAGGCCCCAGAAAUUUAUGGUGGUUUUGUACUAGAAUAAAGGAAUGGAUGCUUACAAUGAAAAUACCAAAAAACAAAAAAAAAAAAAUCAGUUCUACCAGUGUAAUGAUGAAUAAGACAAUCACAGGGAAAAACAGAAAUAGAUUAUUCAAAAACAGAAGAUGAUUUAAUAUUUACAAGCUGAGGAUUUCAUAAAGUGAAGUGAAAGUCACUGGGUCUCGGACAGGAAGGAGCGACUAAGCACAGUACAGCAUAUUAGAUUGAACUUCAUGAAGAGGUAUUUUGUGGAAAGAAUAUGAAAUUUUACAGAAGAAACAUAAUUGUGCAUCCUGGAAGCUCUAUGAAGUUAUCAAUUAUUAUGAAAAUGAUUCCAGCAUAUUCUGGGGGUGUCCUGAAACUUAUUGAUAUCUCUUACAGCUUCUAGUGUUACUAUCUAGAGAUAAAGGUUUUUAGCGUGAUUUAGAACAGAGCAUCAGAAUCCAUUUCUGGAAAAGAGGGAUUUGAGUAGUUUCUGUGUACUGGAAGUAAAUAUUAGAAAUAUAUUUAACAAUGAAAAUAAUAAAUAUUUCCAUUCAGUUCUAUUAAAUAUUUUUAUUCAGUUGCUGUUAUGCAAAACAUUGAUAAAGGCAGUUUUUAUAUUCACUUUCUCUUCUCCUGGUCAAAGCAAAAAACUGGCUGCUCUAAUUUUGAAAUAACAUGGUUCAUAGGUAUAUAUUCCUAAGAGGCAAAUGUAUCAAAGCUUAAUUCUUUGGAUUAUUUUCUUAGUGGCAAGUUGGUUUUGUUAAUGACAUAAAUAAUGCAGGAAGGAAUCAAGCAAUUUAAAAUCAAUUAUAAGAAAGUGUGUAUUUUGAAUUCAAAAUAAUUGCAGCUAACUAAAUCCUCGGCAAUUAAAGGCACCUGGAUUUUCUCAGAAAUACUUGAAUUUUGGUAAUAGCUGAUAUUUAAAAAGCUAUGCAAUAUGUGUUUAAAUUUUUAGUACCCUUAAUUCAAGACUGUAAAUGGAGGAGAUAAAAUUUGAUAAUUUUUUUCACUCUGAAAAUAAACCUACUAAUAUAUACUCAAAUUAGAUCUCUCUGCUAAGAUUACUUUAAAAGCUUUAUAAAUAUGAUUUUAUGAGAGACCCAUAUGGUAGCAGAUACAUUUUCUAGCAUGAACUACAGUGCUUACAAAAUUACUCAGAGCAAUUACAUGAUUCAUAAAAUAUUUAAAAGCAUUUAAUGAUGAAAGUUUUUAAAUGGCUAAAUGGCGAACCCAAUUACACUGAGCCGAUUAGCUAAAGAAGUGUUUUUCCAUAAUCAGUGUUUACCUUUAAAUAGAACUUCAUGUAUAUACAAAUAUUUAUUGUGUGACUUUCUAGGCAAUCAGGUUUGUUAACCAUUUUUCAAAUACAUAGCUUCCUUUUCUUGAAAACACACUUUUAAUGAAUGAAUAACAAAAAAAC
ensembl:lncRNA